ACCACCGUCGAGUGCGGUCGUGUUUUUUUCCGCUCCCCAAGUCUCUAGUCCCAGUGUGCUGAACCGGCGGAACCCCGGAAAAAGAGAGUGUGGGAUUUCCUCCUGGUGAAGACCGUCUUCAAGGAUAACUUGAAGCUUUUGGCGCGGAUUUUUUUGGCAAAGUCUCGGCGACGAAGUCGUAGAUUUGCGUUCAAGUGGUGGGGGGUGUGAGAGAGUGUUGGUGCGAGCGACCAGCGUUGACCGGAUUUGCCGGGGACGGAGAUUUACGCUACGAGGUCCUUGGAGUGAUUCCCAAAGGAUUCGCUCUUAAACUCUGUCUGCGUCUCUUUACAACUUUGCUCUAAGGUUGGGGGAUUAAGUGUGAUUCCGGGAAGCAGUAGUAGUGUCUGCUGUAGUAAGACUGAUAACAAAAAGUUUCCGAAAGUUUUCCAAAGUAACUUCCGGACAAAAGAUCAGCAUCCGGAGGCUUGUCCGGAUUAGGGGAGAAAAGGUUAUCAACCAAAUCUACACAAAUUCAACGAAGCGAAGCGAAACUUUGAAACAAUCCUUUUUUGUCCGAAAAAUUCCUGGAAGUGGAAAUUGUUUCACAGUGUACAAAAGCUAAAAAGCUAAAGUGGAAAAGUGCCAAAGCGAAACAGAGUGGAAAAGUGAAUAACAUAAAAUAGGAAGGAAAAAAAACCGGGUACGCGGGAAAUUGGAAAAGUUGAAGCCGGGUUUGAGUGAGUGAGGAGAAAGUUGGUCUCUGUGUUUUAUAUUUUGCUGCUGCCUGCUCAUCGUCAUCAUCAGGAUCAAGAACCUGGUCUUCUGAAUCUCCGGGUCGUCCCAUCGUUGAAACUUGCUGUGCCCAAGUGUCAACCUUGUGAAGCAUAAAAAAUCGAGUGCUUUUGGCACGUAAAACUCUCAACUGUACUUCAAAGUUCCAGCGGGAAAGUUGCCGGUGUGGCUGCUGUUGAUCGGUAAGGUGACGAGCGAUCCGACGAAACUUUGCGUACCCUUACCACGGCUUAAAUCGUUCUCUCUAUUGACGAAAAAUCAAUAAUUAUUGGUGAUUGGUGCAGUCAAAGAAGAAAGCAACGUCGUCGUCCAGCUGGAGAGGAGCUUUUUCCUGAGUCCCGAAAAGAAAGGAGAAUUUUGCCAUGUCUUCGGAAUAAUCAGUAAGCACUGAAAGG